rnacentral:lncRNA from 1 species
GUCGUGUUUUAAUUUUGAUUACACUUUCGUAUUUAGUAACUGCCAGCCCAUAAUUAUGGAUCAUUCUUAUUGUGUCACAACACCAAAAACUCACAAAAAACAUAAAUAUUGUCAUGUUCCACAAUGUAAAACAAUGUAAGAUAUUAACUUAUUUCUACUAAAUUUACAAAUUAUAUUCUCUGUUUAAACAUAUUCAAAAUAAUUAUUUGAUUUGCAAUUAACGGUCAAUACCGAGAAUAUGUCCGAAGAAGACUUUCCGCACUUUUCCCAAAAAUGUUAUCCUAAAAAAGAAAUGGGAGCAUGUUUUAAAAAUGAAUAUUACUAAUUCUCCUUCAAAUAAUAUUAAUGUGUGCAGCAAACAUUUUAUUAAAAGAUGAUUUCUUAUUAUUUACAACAAGUUAUUAUUCUAAUUUAGAACUAAUACUCAAAUUAUAUAGAAUACCUACUAACUGUUAAAUUAAUAUAGAGUAACAUAAGUAGGUACUUUAAUAUGGUUGUUAUGUAAUGAGUGUGAUUUUAACAAUUCCAUAGACUUCAUAAAAACAUAGAAACCUAGGUUCUCCACUGAGAUCACUAGUUUUAAGACACAGCGAUAAUUCUUAAUAUUUUGUUAUUAUUUUUCACACAUCCGUGUGGUUAAAUGUCAUUAUUUGCGUACCCUACUCAAUCAAUCGAUUGAAGUCGAUUAAAGUCGCCGAUAAAACUUAAAAUGUCAAUUAGCUCAACAACCGAAGUAAACAUUUUUUUUUCUUUUUGAAAAGGUAUUAUGAAAUCGAAUAAAAUAAUUUAUAUUAUUCAAAAACAACAAAUUAAAUUUAUAUUAGGCAAUGUGAAAAUUUAAAAUUGAUUAUUAUCAGUUAUCAAUAUAGACAAUUCAUUGAAGGUUAUUAAUAUAAAAUAAUUAUUUAAGGACCUUUCACAACUAAACCAAUUUCUUACACGAAACCAGCCAAUCACACAUUGGUUUUACUAUUUACCAACAAUAGUAAAAUUCAUUAGGUUUAUUAAUUUAUAGACUAUUUAAACAUGCAAUAAUUAUGUAUUAUGUAUUAUAUAUUAUAUUGUAUUAUAUACUUCUCUUGAUUCGAAUUCUAAAUAUCACAAUAACAUCAAUAACAACCGGGAAUAAAACAGAGAAAUCGGUACACUAAACAAAUAUUAUUAAAGAAAAUAUAAAAGUAUAAUGCCUACUUAAUUAUUUUACCAUAUAAUAUGACAUUUUAUAUAUUAUAGCAUAGCACUAUCAACUGAACUCCGCUCAGAAUCCUUAUUUGGUUAGCAAUGGUUUAUCGUUGUUCACAGGUAUACAUUAAAUUGCCUAUAACAGUGGUUGCACACGUCCCCAGUUUUUUUGUUACAUUAAUUAUAAAAGUAUCAAUACAUUAAAUUGCGGAUUUAAUUUUUAUAGUAAGGAACUGUGAAUUUAAAAAUAGAUUUGUAAAAAUAUUAACAGGGGUGUGCCUAGAGGAGUACGAUAGAUGCCCCUGCACCGGACACUAUGACUAUAGGAUUGCCAAUGAAAAUUGUGAACGUUCUGUAAUUGAAUAUGUUUACAAUAAACGUUCAAAUAAUGAAUCCCCAACAACCAACGGACAGAUUUUUUUUUUUUUUGUUGCUCGUGGGUAAAUUUCGCACGGAUGCCGAUUUUGCUGGGCACGGUACUUAAUAUUGCAUUGCUAUUGAAAAAGUGAUAGGUUAGGUCUCCCUAAUCCACCCGUAAAUACGCCACUAGUACAGUAGAACCGCAUACAAAAAAGUAGUUUAGCGCCGCUGCUCGUAUGAAUCAAUGCGUCCCACUACAAAAAUAUAGAAUCUCAAAUGUAUCCAAAAAUAGUUAAAUAAUAAUACUAUCGUGUACCUACAUAUAUUUUCACUCUGUAUAGCCUGCGUACAACACCGUGAACCAGCUGUAGCCACUGUUGUAGAUUUAGAAAUUUUGUUAGGUACUAAUGGUUAUUUAUCGUAAAACUAUUAAUUAAUAUUAUAUAUUAAUUAAUAUAUAAUUUAUAUAUAUUAUAUAUCUGUUUUUAUUAAUGUAAUCAAGGCAGUAACCACACCUAAUAAUAAUAAAUAAGUUUGGUGCCAUUACUGGGUACCCACUUACUAGGGGUAAAUAAUGGCGUUGAGAUGGUAGGUACCGGUAAUACUAACCGUUACAUUAUUACAGUUCAAGUACUGCAAUCGGUGGGAAAUAUAAAAAUCAAUGCAAUUACCCUUGGUGUAUAUAUAAUAACAAAAUACUGCUUACAGAUCAUUUUAUUGUAUGCAUAUGUGUUCAUUUAUAUUUAUUUAUUUGUAUUUACCUAUAUAAUCUGUAUAUAAAUUAUUUGGUGAUUAUUAUUUAUACAUAUAUCGUUUUAUGUGACAGUAUUGAAAUAUGCGACAAUAUUCUCUGAUCUACAAAAGCCAGUAUCUAUAUUAAAAUAAUUGACUCAAAUAUUAGGUUAAUAUUAUAUUAUUAUAUUAUAACUUCUUAUUAAAUUAUAAACUAAUAAUUAAUAAAUAAUUAUUGGCGGAUAUUUGGUUUCAUCUGGGGGGGGGGCUUAGCAUUUUUGUCUUAUUCAUUUGUGGAAACAAAUAUUUUUAGUCGCUUCUAACGCUUCCAACUACCAACUGUAGUGGCUACUCCUACUUGAUUCUAGCUGAGGCACCAAAUAUAUAUAUAUAGGUAAUAGGAACAUAAAAAAAUAAAAUAUUGAAUAGCUACUAAAUUAUUUUUAUUUUAGUUGUAUAUAUCCAUUUUUUUGUGCAAAUAUAUUAACAAUUGUUUCAGUAUUAAUAGAUUUAGAAAUUUCUUUUUCAAGAAGCCGUGAAUAUUCCAGACCAUUCUCGUAUCUCAACAAAAUGAAAUAAAAAUUAUAAAUAUCAAAUAUUGAAACACAUAAUUUUUUAUUUUGACAUUUACAUUCUGGGGGGCUUAAGCCCCCCCCCCAAGUCCCCUCCGAUAUCCGCCCUGGUAAAUAAUAACUCUUAAUUAUAAACUUCUUUUAAAAUUUGUUUUAUUCAUUAAUAUGUGUAUAAAGUCCUCAUUAUGUAUGUAUACAAAAUACAGUACAAUAAAUUAGUUAACAAUUGGUUAUUAUUUGUUUCAUUGCUCUGUUAUCAAAAUACUGCGAGAUAUAUUAUUACUGUUGUUAGUUUACAGAGUCUGUAUAAAAAAUAAAAUGUCGUCUUCUUAAUCUAUUACUUACUAUUAAGUAAGUAGGUAGGUAUAUAAUAUAUCAAUUACCUACACAUAAUAUGAAAAUUUGAAGUUUCACAACUGUAUACCCACAGUAGUAUGAUUUAUAGUAAAUUAAUAUUCAAUGUAACAUAGGUACUGAAUACCUAAACUAAUAGUGCAUUAAAAUAAUAUUAUUUAAAUAAAAUGACUCUGCAAGGAUCUACUUUGAAAAACUAUUUAAUUAGGUUUAUUGUUUUUAUUAAUUUGUUUUUCAAUUUUUCAACAUAAUAACAGGUACCUACAUGUAUAAUAAUUUAAAAAUUUGAAGUUUCACGGCUGGAUACCUAUGGUAGUAUUAUUUCUAUUAUGGUAAUAUUCGAGGUAACAUAAUGAAUACCUAUACUAAUAGUAAUAUUGUUAGAAUUUAUUUAAAUAAAAUUGCUCAGCAAGGAUCUACUUUGGAAAACUACAAAGAAUUUAAUGUAUUGCCAUUAAGGUUCAUUUUAUUUAUUAAUUAUUUUUAAAUUUUUCCUACAUAAUAUAAUAAUAAAUAAAAGUGUAGAGUUAUAAAUUGUCUUCUUAAAUUAUUUUCUAACAUCUAUUAGGUAUUAAACACUAAAUCUUGACAUCUAGGCAUUGCCGAAUCCCUGCAUAUAUUAAUAUUAAUAUAUUGAUACAAAUGUAUAAUAUUAAUGUAUCAUACACGUAACAUGUUAUACUGCACCUACCAGCCGACUGUAUCUUACUACUGUACUCCUGUGAAGAGUAUGUUAAAUAGAUAACUUGGUGAAUAAUGAUUAAAUUUAAUUUAAUAAUGAGCGUUCUCAGGGGGUUCAAACCUCUUCCAUGGACACUUGAUAUCAAUGUAUUGUAUAUAUGUAUUAUCAUGGCUAAAAAUACUUAGUUUGGAAUUGUUGCAGAAAAGUUAAUGAAUGAUAUCCUUUUUGAGGCGGAAAUGGGCAGUUUGACAUUACAGCACAAGAUCACAAUAGCAGCGAAAAUUUCAUCAAGUUUUUGUUCACAAAGUCAUAGUUCAAAUUCCAAUUAUUCUGAAUACGGUAGCUACAGCUCUCUAUAUCAAGAAAAUGAUGAUUUUGAUCGCAACACAACUCCUCAACAAACUCGUAGAAUAAAAGUACUGUGGGAAAAAUAGGUAGACCCAUUCAAAUUAUCAGAAUAUAAUUAUAAUUUUUGUAACACAUAUUUUGACAUUAUUUCAUUCAUAAAUUUACAAUAUUAAAAUGUCGCAAAAUAAAAUAACUAACUUUUUUGCAUCUGCUUCC